UACGGGGGGGGCAAGCGUUGUUCGGAAUUACUGGGCGUAAAGGGCUCGUAGGCGGCCAACUAAGUCACACGUGAAAUCCCUCGGCUCAACCGGGGAACUGCGUGUGAGACUGGAUGGCUUGAGUUUGGGAGAGGAAUGCGGAAUUCCAGGUGUAGCGGUGAAAUGCGUAGAUAUCUGGAGGAACACCGGUGGCGAAGGCGGGUCUCUGGGCCGAUACUGACGCUGAGGAGCGAAAGCGUGGGGAGCAAACAGG
rnacentral:rRNA from 1 species